GAUAUAGUGCCUGAUAAAAGGAUAGUUUUGAUAGAACUAAUAAUGUAGUAUAUAUAUAAUUACCUAUAUUA
rnacentral:tRNA from 1 species